UAAUACAUAGGGUGCAAGCGUUGUCCGGAAUUAUUGGGCGUAAAGAGCUCGUAGGUCGUUUGUUACGUCGGAUGUGAAAACCUGAGGCUCAGCCUCAGGCCUGCAUUCGAUACGGGCAAACUAGAGUUUGGUAGGGAGACUGGAAUUCCUGGUGUAGCGGUGGAAUGCGCAGAUAUCAGGAGGAACACCAAUGGCGAAGGCAGGUCUCUGGGCCAAUACUGACACUGAGGAGCGAAAGUCUGGGGAGCGAACAGGAUUAGAUACCCUGGUAGUCCCAGACCGUAAACGGUGGGCACUAGUUGUGGGAACCUUCCACGGUUUCUGCGACGCAGCUAACGCAUUAAGUGCCCCGCCUGGGGAGUACGAUCGCAAGAUUAAAACUCAAAGAAAUUGACGGGGGCCUGGCACAAGCGGAGGAGUAUGUGGCUUAAUUCGAUGCAACGCGAAGAACCUUACCUGGCCUUGACAUGUAGGUAGUAGGAGCCUGAAAAGGGUGACGAGGUAGCAAUACC
rnacentral:rRNA from 1 species